CACACAGGUUAAUACUGAAUGUAAACUUACAAUGAGAACUGCUGUAUUCAGUUUUUUGGGUUGUAAUUUAUGCAAUUGCUUCUUGUGAUUUUUAGAAAAGGAGGCACCUGUGUUACUUUAUUACUGUAAAGUUUCUUAACCAAAAUUUGGUGAAUUUCACUAGUCAGUCUACCUCACAUUUUGUUUAUGAUUCUAAAUUGUCUUGUGUUGACAGUACAUUCUUGUCCUUUCAUUUAAUUUGGUGAAUGUAUUAAAUUCUCUCCCAUCCCCUAAGAAGAAAGUGUGUUUUCUUUACAUUUUCUGGUAUGUUCAAAAUUGGAAUGAGCUGGUUCUGCCAAUGUCCGAGAAAGGCCACAAGUCCACAUGUCAUAAGUUGGAUAACUCUAAGAUUCUACUAUUCUGGCUUAACAGUGCAAGAAAGUGCUGAGUAAGUAUUUGUGGACUGAAAAUCUAUAGCUUAUCCAAAGACGAUACACACAUAUAAAGUACCUACACACCAUGCCCACUUGCAGAGUGCCACAUAAUUAUGAAUAACAGAUCUAGAAAUGAUUAAAGAAAUGUUAGAAAUAUCCAUGGUACAUCCCCGAUCUUUUGUUUUAUAGAUGGCAACUCUAUUCAUUUCCAUGUCCCAAGAAGCAGACUUUAGGAUGGUAGAAUUGUGUAGUAUAACCUAAGGUUACUCUCCAUUUUAUUUCUAAAUUCUAAUUUCACCAGCUUUAGAGAAUUAACUUCUUAUUCCAGGGGGGGCUUUCAGUUCUAUUAUAUUGACAGUGCUAAAAUAACCUUUGAUAUAGAACUGUAAAAACAUUCUUUAGGGUCAGAGGUCCCUGGCUGUUGCCUCAGGAGGGCCAGUAACUAUCUUAAGUCUACUGACAGAUCCAGGAGCAAGUAGGACACUGCCCGUGUCCCACUACACACCCCACUGAGCUGCCCUGGAAAGACUACCAGCUGUGAAACUGCCUGCUGUAGCUUUGUAUUCAACUGCAGAGAGCUGAACAAUAUCCAGAGAACACACAUUCCUCAGGCUUGUCUCCAGUCAUGGCCAAGAAGCUCAUAAGCGCUCUCUGGGUCUAAGAGAAUAUUGAUAAAACA
ensembl:lncRNA